rnacentral:rRNA from 1 species
ACGGGGCCGCACAAGCGGUGGAGCAUGUGGUUUAAUUCGAAGCAACGCGAAGAACCUUACCAGGUCUUGACAUCCCUGACAACCCAAGAGAUUGGGCGUUCCCCUUCGGGGGACAGGGUGACAGGUGGUGCAUGGUUGUCGUCAGCUCGUGUCGUGAGAUGUUGGGUUAAGUCCCGCAACGAGCGCAACCCUCGCCUCUAGUUGCCAGCAUUCGGUUGGGCACUCUAGAGGGACUGCCGGCGACAAGUCGGAGGAAGGUGGGGAUGACGUCAAAUCAUCAUGCCCCUUAUGACCUGGGCUACACACGUGCUACAAUGGGCGGUACAAAGGGUCGCGAACCCGCGAGGGGGAGCCAAUCCCAAAAAGCCGCUCUCAGUUCGGAUUGCAGGCUGCAACUCGCCUGCAUGAAGUCGGAGUUGCUAGUAAACGCGCAUCAGCCAUGGCCGCGUUCCGAAUACGUUCCGGGCCUU